rnacentral:rRNA from 1 species
CCAUGCCGCGUGAGUGAUGAAGGCCCUAGGGUUGUAAAGCUCUUUUGUGCGGGAAGAUAAUGACGGUACCGCAAGAAUAAGCCCCGGCUAACUUCGUGCCAGCAGCCGCGGUAAUACGAAGGGGGCUAGCGUUGCUCGGAAUCACUGGGCGUAAAGGGUGCGUAGGCGGGUCUUUAAGUCAGGGGUGAAAUCCUGGAGCUCAACUCCAGAACUGCCUUUGAUACUGAGGAUCUUGAGUUCGGGAGAGGUGAGUGGAACUGCGAGUGUAGAGGUGAAAUUCGUAGAUAUUCGCAAGAACACCAGUGGCGAAGGCGGCUCACUGGCCCGAUACUGACGCUGAGGCACGAAAGCGUGGGGAGCAAACA